rnacentral:rRNA from 1 species
UACAGAGGUGUCAAGCGUUGCUCGGUGUCACUGGGCUUAAAGGGCGCGUAGACUGUGCAGUACGGCUCGGGUGAAAUCCCUCGGCCCAACCGAGGAACUGCGCCCGAGACUGCUUCUCUUGAGUCCCGGAGAGGAAGAUGGAAUUCCCGGUGUAGCGGUGAAAUGUGUAGAGAUCGGGAGGAACACCGGUGGCGAAGGCGGUCUUCUGGACGGUGACUGACGCUGAGGCGCGAAAGCGUGGGGAGCAAACGGG